AUUUGUGGCAGAAAUUGCACUGAAUUGCAGUCAAAUGGUUGUGAAUGAAACGAGAUUUGUGGAAAAUGACGCCACUUCCCGUGUUAGCCGCUGGUCGUAGCAUACAGCCCAUAUUCCAUUGCAGGUGAUGGGCCAACGUUCGUGUUGAGAUCCGCUGAGUUUCCUCGUACUCGUGGAGUUGAAUUUGUGGCAGAAAUUGCACUGAAUUGCAGUCAAAUGGUUGUGAAUGAAACGAGAUUUGUGGAAAAUGACGCCACUUCCCGUGUUAGCCGCUGGUCGUAGCAUACAGCCCAUAUUCCAUUGCAGGUGAUGGGCCAACGUUCGUGUUGAGAUCCGCUGAGUUUCCUCGUACUCGUGGAGUUGAAUUUGUGGCAGAAAUUGCACUGAAUUGCAGUCAAAUGGUUGUGAAUGAAACGAGAUUUGUGGAAAAUGACGCCACUUCCCGUGUUAGCCGCUGGUCGUAGCAUACAGCCCAUAUUCCAUUGCAGGUGAUGGGCGAAAGUUCUUGUGGAGAUCCGCUGAGCUUCCUCGGCGUACUCGUGGAUUUAUGAAUUUGUGUCAGAAAUUGCAGUCGAGUGGACUUCUGUGCGUGUGUUGUGAGUAAAUCGCGACGGCUCCCUUCCUUCAGCAUCGUCAAAACGCAACAUAGAGCAUUAUUACGCACUCGUUCCAUGAUUCAUGAUAAUGCCUGGAUUCUUUUAAAAACAAUCAAUGUGUGUUCCCUAUCUAUCUACAUUGUACAUGGUUGCAGGUCGUUAUUUAUAAAUCUUGAUAAUUUCAACACUUUUCUA